GACGAACCGUGCGAACGUUGUUCGGAUUCACUGGGCUUAAAGGGCGCGUAGGCGGACAAUCAAGUCAGGGGUGAAAGCCUCCAGCUCAACUGGAGAAGUGCCUUUGAUACUGACUGUCUCGAGGGAGGUAGGGGCAUGUGGAACUUCCGGUGGAGCGGUGAAAUGCGUAGAUAUCGGAAGGAACGCCGGUGGCGAAAGCGACGUGCUGGACCUCUUCUGACGCUGAGGCGCGAAAGCUGGGGAGCAAACGGGAUUAGA
rnacentral:rRNA from 1 species